CCUACGGGAGGCUGCAGUGGGGAAUAUUGGACAAUGGGCGAAAGCCUGAUCCAGCCAUGCCGCGUGUGUGAAGAAGGCCUUCGGGUUGUAAAGCACUUUCAGUGGGGAAGAAAGCCUUGGGGCUAAUACCCUCGAGGAAGGACAUCACCCACAGAAGAAGCACCGGCUAACUCCGUGCCAGCAGCCGCGGUAAUACGGAGGGUGCGAGCGUUAAUCGGAAUUACUGGGCGUAAAGCGCGCGUAGGCGGUCUGAUAAGCCGGUUGUGAAAGCCCCGGGCUCAACCUGGGAACGGCAUCCGGAACUGUCAGGCUAGAGUGCAGGAGAGGAAGGUAGAAUUCCCGGUGUAGCGGUGAAAUGCGUAGAGAUCGGGAGGAAUACCAGUGGCGAAGGCGGCCUUCUGGACUGACACUGACGCUGAGGUGCGAAAGCGUGGGUAGCAAACAGGAUUAAUACCCGUGUAGUC
rnacentral:rRNA from 1 species